rnacentral:lncRNA from 1 species
UCCCUCAACUGACGUUGUGGGGUGAAUUGAACGUACGGAUAACACUUGCGGGGUUUUUGGUUGCUUACGGGGUGCACCCCAUAUGCAACCCAUUGCAAACGUGUCCAUGGUUCCUAAAACCCCGGAAAAAAUGCCUUCCAGUUUUGCACCCCACAAACAGCGGACACUACUGGCCGUCCGUUUUCUAUGGACGAUAUCAUAAAUAUUACAAAUUACAUUGAUGAAAAUCUAUAAUUAGAUAUGAGACGUGCGCAUGCGCACUAGCAGUAAAGGUGAGCGCGCGCACCCAAGUACAAUUCACUUCCGUUGGUAGUAACGCGUAAUGGCGGACUUACAGGGAAAUUGAGAGCUUUUGAAGAAGAAAAGGCUGAAUUCCACCUAAGAGACGUUCUUGUGUGAUAUAGACUGGGCACUGGCCUAUUGGUCACCAGCAUAUACCAAGUAUAAUACCUGAAGGUUCUAAGACUGGGAUGAAGUUUAAUACCAAUUGAGCUGUAAGGAAAGAGGUUGGAAUCAAAGUCCUUGUCUGUUGGCAACUACAGAUAUAGCAGAACCAGAUUAAACACAGGAAAUGGCUGCUCAAGAUAGCAUUUAACCAAAUGAGCUGAUUUAAUUGCUCAU